rnacentral:rRNA from 1 species
AGAGUUUGAUCCUGGCUCAGAAUCAACGCUGGCGGCGUGCCUAACACAUGCAAGUCGAACGAGAAAGUGGGGCUUGCUCCACGAGUAAAGUGGCAGACGGGUGAGUAACACGUGAACAAUCUACCCUCGAGUGGGGAAUAACACCGCGAAAGCGGUGCUAAUACCGCAUAACAUCUCCGGGUUGCAUGAUCUGGAGAUCAAAAGCGCAAGUUGCUUGAGGAGGAGUUCGCGCCUGAUUAGCUUGUUGGUGAGGUAACGGCUCACCAAGGCAACGAUCAGUAGCCGGCCUGAGAGGGCGAACGGCCACACUGGAACUGAGACACGGUCCAGACUCCUACGGGAGGCAGCAGUGGGGAAUUUUGCGCAAUGGGCGAAAGCCUGACGCAGCAACGCCGCGUGGAGGAUGAAGGCCCUCGGGUCGUAAACUCCUGUCAGUGGGGACGAAUGCCUCGCAAGAGGUUUGACUGUACCCAUUGAGGAAGCCACGGCUAACUCCGUGCCAGCAGCCGCGGUAAUACGGAGGUGGCAAGCGUUGUUCGGAAUUACUGGGCGUAAAGGGCGCGUAGGCGGCUUGGCAAGUCAGAUGUGAAAGCCCCGGGCUUAACCCGGGGAAUUGCAUCUGAAACUGCUGAGCUUGAGUCCUGGAGGGGAUAGGGGAAUUCCCAGUGUAGCGGUGGAAUGCGUAGAUAUUGGGAGGAACACCUGCGGCGAAGGCGGCUAUCUGGACAGUGACUGACGCUGAUGCGCGAAAGCUAGGGGAGCGAACGGGAUUAGAUACCCCGGUAGUCCUAGCCGUAAACGAUGGGCACUUGGUGUUGGGGGUAUUGAGUCCCUCGGUGCCGGAGUUAACACGUUAAGUGCCCCGCCUGGGGAGUACGGUCGCAAGACUGAAACUCAAAGGAAUUGACGGGGGCCCGCACAAGCGGUGGAGCAUGUGGUUCAAUUCGACGCAACGCGAAGAACCUUACCGGGGCUUGAACUGUAACUGAAACUCGUAGAAACACGAGAUUCUCUUCGGAGACGGUUAUAGAGGUGCUGCAUGGCUGUCGUCAGCUCGUGUCGUGAGAUGUUGGGUUAAGUCCCGCAACGAGCGCAACCCUUGCCCUUAGUUGCCAUCAGGUUAUGCUGGGAACCCUAAGGGAACUGUCGGCGAAAAGCCGGAGGAAGGUGGGGAUGACGUCAAGUCCUCAUGGCCCUUACGUCCCGGGCUACACACGUGCUACAAUGGCUGGUACAAAGGGUCGCCAACCCGCGAGGGGGAGCUAAUCCCAAAAAAAACCAGUCCCAGUUCGGAUUGCAGUCUGCAACUCGACUGCAUGAAGUUGGAAUCGCUAGUAAUCGCAGAUCAGCACGCUGCGGUGAAUACGUUCCCGGGCCUUGUACACACCGCCCGUCACAUCACGAAAGUGGGUUGUACUAGAAAUCGCUGAGCUAACCCGCAAGGGGAGUAGGUGCUUAAGGUAUGAUCCAUGAUUGGGGUGAAGUCGUAACAAGGUA